rnacentral:tRNA from 1 species
UCCCUGGUAGCUCAACUGGUAAAGAAUCCGCCUGCAAUGCGGGAGACCUGGGUUCGAUUCCUGGGCUGGGAA